AACGAACGCUGGCGGCAUGCCUAACACAUGCAAGUCGAACGAGACCUUCGGGUCUAGUUGCGCACGGGUGCGUAACGCGUGGGAACCUGCCCUUAGGUUCGGAAUAACUCCCCGAAAGGGGUGCUAAUACCGGAUAAUGUCUUCGGACCAAAGAUUUAUCGCCUUUGGAUGGGCCCGCGUUGGAUUAGCUAGUUGGUAGGGUAAAAGCCUACCAAGGCGACGAUCCAUAGCUGGUCUGAGAGGAUGAUCAGCCACACUGGGACUGAGACACGGCCCAGACUCCUACGGGAGGCAGCAGUGGGGAAUAUUGGACAAUGGGCGAAAGCCUGAUACAGCAAUGCCGCGUGAGUGAUGAAGGCCUUAGGGUUGUAAAGCUCUUUUACCCGGGAUGAUAAUGACAGUACCGGGAGAAUAAGCUCCGGCUAACUACGUG
rnacentral:rRNA from 1 species